UACGUAGGGUGCAAGCGUUGUCCGGAAUUAUUGGGCGUAAAGAGCUCGUAGGCGGUUUGUUGCGUCGGCUGUGAAAUCCCGAGGCUCAACCUCGGGUCUGCAGUCGAUACGAGCAAACUAGAGUGUUGCAGGGGAGACUGGAAUUCCCGGUGUAGUGGUGGAAUGCGUAGAUAUCGGGAGGAACACCAGUGGCGAAGGCGGUUACCUGGAGCUUUGCUGACGCUGAUGCGCGAAAGCGUGGGGAGCGAUCCGG
rnacentral:rRNA from 1 species